GACGAACGCUGGCGGCGUGCUUAACACAUGCAAGUCGAACGGAAAGGCCCUGCUUUUGUGGGGUGCUCGAGUGGCGAACGGGUGAGUAACACGUGAGUAACCUGCCCUUGACUUUGGGAUAACUUCAGGAAACUGGGGCUAAUACCGGAUAGGAGCUCCUGCUGCAUGGUGGGGGUUGGAAAGUUUCGGCGGUUGGGGAUGGACUCGCGGCUUAUCAGCUUGUUGGUGGGUUAGUGGCUACCAAGGCUUUGACGGGUAGCCGGCCUGAGAGGGUGACCGGCCACAUUGGGACUGAGCUACGGCCCAGACUCCUACGGGAGGCAGCAGUGGGGAAUAUUGCACAAUGGGCGGAAGCCUGAUGCAGCGACGCCGCGUGCGGGAUGACGGCCUUCGGGUUGUAAACCGCUUUCGCCUGUGACGAAGCGUGAGUGACGGUAAUGGGUAAAGAAGCACCGGCUAACUACGUG
rnacentral:rRNA from 1 species